CAGCCGCCACGGUAAUACGUAGGUGGCAAGCGUUGUCCGGAAUUAUUGGGCGUAAAGGGCUCGCAGGCGGUUUCUUAAGUCUGAUGUGAAAGCCCCCGGCUCAACCGGGGAGGGUCAUUGGAAACUGGGAAACUUGAGUGCAGAAGAGGAGAGUGGAAUUCCACGUGUAGCGGUGAAAUGCGUAGAGAUGUGGAGGAACACCAGUGGCGAAGGCGACUCUCUGGUCUGUAACUGACGCUGAGGAGCGAAAGCGUGGGGAGCGAGCAGGAUUAGAUACCCCUGUAGUCCCUGUCUCUUAUAC
rnacentral:rRNA from 1 species